rnacentral:misc_RNA from 1 species
GUGAAUCAUCAAAUUUUUGAACGCAAAUUGCACUCUCCUCGGAGAGGAUGCCUGUUUGAGGGUCAGCCUAUAAAAAAUCUACAUCGUUGCUGUUUCGCGGUGGCGUUCGUCGGAUAUGGGGUCAACUUAAAUCUGUUGUGUUUAAGCGAGUUAAAAUUUUCUUUUUGAUUCCAUGAAGGGGUUUCUAAGAUUUAUUUCUUCACACGUUUAAAGCAUC